rnacentral:rRNA from 1 species
CCUACGGGAUGCAGCAGUGGGGAAUAUUGCACAAUGGGGGAAACCCUGAUGCAGCGACGCCGCGUGAGCGAUGAAGUAUUUCGGUAUGUAAAGCUCUAUCAGCAGGGAAGAAAAUGACGGUACCUGACUAAGAAGCCCCGGCUAACUAGGUGCCAGCCGCCGCGGUAAUACGUAGGGGGCAAGCGUUAUCCGGAUUUACUGGGUGUAAAGGGAGCGUAGACGGCUGUGCAAGCCAGAUGUGACAGCCCGGGGCUCAACCCCGGGACUGCAUUUGGAACUGUGUGGCUGGAGUGUCGGAGAGGCAGGCGGAAUUCCUAGGGUAGCGGUGAAAUGCGUAGAUAUGAGGAGGAACACCAGUGGCGAAGGCGGCCUGCUGGACGAUGACUGACGUUGAGGCUCGAAAGCGUGGGGAGCAAACAGGAUUAGAUACCCUAGUAGUC